UCAGACGAUGCGUCAUGCAUAUCAAUAAGCGGAGGAAAAGAAACUAACAAGGAUUCCCUUAGUAACGGCGAGUGAAGCGGGAAGAGCUCAAAUUUGAAAUCUUCAAGGUUCUACCUUGACGAAUUGUAGUUUAAAGAAGUGUUUUCGGUUAGAGGAGUGGUAAAAGUUCUUUGGAAUAGGACAUCAUAGAGGGUGAGAAUCCCGUAUUUGACCAUUAUCUCCAGCUUUGUGAUACACUUUCAAAGAGUCGGAUUGUUUGGGAAUGCAGUCCAAAAUGGGUGGUAAAUUUCAUCUAAAGCUAAAUAUUGGCGAGAGACCGAUAGCGAACAAGUACCGUGAGGGAAAGAUGAAAAGAACUUUGAAAAGAGAGUUAAACAGUACGUGAAAUUGUCCAAAAGGGAAGCGUUUGACACCAGUGUUGUUUUUCCGAAAAUCAAUUAAAAAGAGUUGGAUUUUGUGUUGUAUUGACCUUAACAGCUUGCUUCACUCUUUUCCUGCUUUUUUUAAUGCACUUUUCGUUUAACAAGUCAACAUCAGUUUCUUUUGUUGUAAAAGGGUCAUUGGAAGGUGGCUUUCUCUUCGGAGAAAGUGUUUAUAGCCUUUGAUCUCUGCAAUCGGAGGGACUGAGGUCUGCAGCGUAGAUCCUUCGGGGUUAGAUACAUUUGUGCUAAGCUACAGCUUUUCGUAGACAACUUGUUGACUAUGAUCAGUCAUGUAGCUUACUCGCUUAUGCUAUUUUACCUACGCUUAGGAUGUUGAUAUGCAUGACUGAUAU
rnacentral:rRNA from 1 species